rnacentral:rRNA from 1 species
CGACCAGACUCCUACGGGAGGCAGCAGUGGGGAAUAUUGCACAAUGGGGGGAACCCUGAUGCAGCGACGCCGCGUGGGUGAAGGAGCACCUCGGUGCGUAAAGCCCUAUCGGCAGGGAAGAAAAGCGAACAGGUUCGCCUGGACGGUACCUGACUAAGAAGCCACGGCUAACUACGUGCCAGCAGCCGCGGUAAUACGUAGGUGGCAAGCGUUGUCCGGAUUUACUGGGUGUAAAGGGGGCGCAGACGGCGAUGCAAGCCAGGAGUGAAAGCCCGGGGCCCAACCCCGGGACUGCUCUUGGAACUGCGUGGCUAGAGUGCAGGAGGGGCAGGCGGAAUUCCUGGUGUAGCGGUGAAAUGCGUAGGUAUCAGGAGGAACACCGGUGGCGAAGGCGGCCUGCUGGACUGCGACUGACGUUGAGGCCCGAAAGCGUGGGGAGCAAACAGGAUUAGAUACCCCAGUA